rnacentral:rRNA from 1 species
AAAUGAAUAGACGGGGACCCGCACAAGCAGCGGAGCGUGUGGUUUAAUUCGAUGCUACACGAAGAACCUCACCCAGGUUUGACAUAUAAGUAGUAGUGAACCGAAAGGGGAACGACCCGCAAGGGAGCUUAUACAGGUGUUGCAUGGCUGUCGUCAGCUCGUGUCGUGAGAUGUUCGUUUAAGUACGCUAACGAGCGCAACCCUUACUGCCAGUUACAAGUGUCUGGCGGGACUGCCGGCCACAAGCCGGAGGAAGGCGAGGAUGACGUCAAGUCAGCAUGGCCUUUAUAUCUGGGGCUACACACACGCUACAAUGGGUCGGUACAAUGGGUCGCCAAGCCGCGAGGCGGAGCCAAUCCCACAAAACGAUCCUCAGUUCAGAUUGCAGGCUGCAACUCGCCUGCAUGAAGUCGGAGUUGCUAGUAAACGCGCGUCAGCUAUAGCGCGUUGAAUACGUUCCCGGGUCUUGUACACACCGCCCGU